rnacentral:rRNA from 1 species
GCAUCGGCUAACUCCGUGCCAGCAGCCGCGGUAAUACGGAGGAUGCAAGCGUUAUCCGGAAUCAUUGGGCGUAAAGAGUCUGUAGGUGGCACUUCAAGUCUGCUGUCAAAGACCGAAGCUUAACUUCGGGAAGGCGGUGGAAACUGAAGAGCUAGAGUAAAGCAGGGGUAGAGGGAAUUCCCAGUGUAGCGGUGAAAUGCGUAGAGAUUGGGAAGAACACCAGUGGCGAAGGCGCUCUACUGGGCUAAAACUGACACUGAGAGACGAAAGCUAGGGUAGCGAAAGGGAUUAGAUACCCCUGUAGUCCUAGCGGUAAACGAUGGAUACUAGGCGUAGAGCCGUUAUAAAUGGGGCUGUGCCGAAGCAAACGCGUUAAGUAUYCCGCCUGGGGAGUACGCACGC